rnacentral:rRNA from 1 species
CUACGGGUGGCAGCAGUGAGGAAUUUUGCGCAAUGGGGGAAACCCUGACGCAGCAACGCCGCGUGAGCGAAGAAGGCCUUCGGGUCGUAAAGCUCUGUCAAGUGGGAAAAAAAUUCUUUGAUGAACAGUCAAAGGACUCGAUGGUACCACUGGAGGAAGCACCGGCUAACUCCGUGCCAGCAGCCGCGGUAAUACGGAGGGUGCAAGCGUUGUUCGGAAUUACUGGGCGUAAAGAGCGUGUAGGCGGUUUGACAGGUCAGAUGUGAAAGCCCCGGGCUCAACCCGGGAAGUGCAUUUGAAACUGUUUCACUAGAGUAUGGGAGAGGAGAUUGGAAUUCCUGGUGUAGAGGUGAAAUUCGUAGAUAUCAGGAGGAACACCCGUGGCGAAGGCGAUUCUCUGGACCAAUACUGACGCUGAGACGCGAAAGCGUGGGGAGCAAACAGGAUUAGAUACCCUGGUAGUC